CUGAAACCAAACUGCUACCCUUUGCCUCCUUACUUAGAAAUAUGAAUAUUCAGCAAUAACAUGUUUGAACAGAAUAUGAACUUUCUGCACUUCCCCUCGUCUCACUCAGUAACUUUCCGUACCCAAAGUUCCUAUUCACCCUUCAUUGACACCUAACAUGACGAGAGGAAUAAGUAUGUUUCAAGCCAGAAUCCAACAGGUAGAAACAUGAAUGUUUCUGUCUCUCAACUUCAUAAUUGAUUUGAUGACAGUGGAGUCAUGUUUGACACACACUUCAGGAUAGUCAGACAGGGCAUCUCCAGAAGAAGCUUGAAGGGCUUUACCUCAGUGUGAAAGAGGAUGCACUACUUCUACCAUUUUACAGACGGCAACAAGAGAUUCAUCAGAUUCGGAGAAAUUGAGGACAAAGCACCAUUGACAGCUUCCAUUGUUCAACUUCACGAGCAGCAGGCAGAGUUUAAGCUCCCCACAGGGGAUGAUCUGCUCAAUACUGAUAACUUUGUGUGGCCAUGGGAGAGACUUGGCACCAGUAAAUAUAUGAUUGCAAAAUAUAUCUAUUGUGAUUGAAUGUUUACCUUCUACGUAGCUUGCAAUCAUUGCUGUUCUGUUAUAUACCUCUGAGUUUACAGCUCACAGGCAACAGCCAUCUUGCCAUCAAAAGGCAAUCUUCAACAGACUGAUGUUAGUGAACAGAAUGCAGGAGGAAGAGAGGAUCCUGCUGCAAGAGAUGAAGAGGCACUGGGGAGCCUACAACGAGAAGUGGGAACUCUGGAGGCACUGUCCCAGCAGCUGCAAGAUCAGAGCAAUGCAGUGGAGUUUUCAGAGGGAGGGAAGAAUGGCCUUCUCUGCCACCUGUGUGCCACCAUACUUAUUUUCCACCAUAAUUUGCAAA